UAGCAAAUGAUUAAACAUUCCUCUGAAGA
rnacentral:sRNA from 1 species